UACAGAGGUCUCAAGCGUUGUUCGGAUUCAUUGGGCGUAAAGGGUGCGUAGGCGGCGCGGUAAGUCGGGUGUGAAAGUCUCGGAGCUCAACUCCGAAAUUGCACUGGAUACUGCUCUGCUAGAGGGCUGGAGAGGAGAUCGGAAUUCACGGGUGUAGCAGUUGAAAUGCGUAGAUAUCGUGAGGAAGACCAGUGCGAAGGCGGAUCUCUGGGACAG
rnacentral:rRNA from 1 species